rnacentral:rRNA from 1 species
GGUCCAGACUUUGAUCAUGGCUCACGAUGAACGCUAGCUACAGGCUUAACACAUGCAAGUCGAGGGGAAACGAUAUUGGAAGCUUGCUUCCGAUAGGCGUCGACCGGCGCACGGGUGAGUAACGCGUAUCCAACCUGCCCAUCACUUGGGGAUAACCUUGCGAAAGUAAGACUAAUACCCAAUGACGUCUCUAGAAGACAUCUGAAAGAGAUUAAAGAUUUAUCGGUGAUGGAUGGGGAUGCGUCUGAUUAGCUUGUUGGCGGGGUAACGGCCCACCAAGGCGACGAUCAGUAGGGGUUCUGAGAGGAAGGUCCCCCACAUUGGAACUGAGACACGGUCCAAACUCCUACGGGAGGCAGCAGUGAGGAAUAUUGGUCAAUGGGCGAGAGCCUGAACCAGCCAAGUAGCGUGCAGGAUGACGGCCCUAUGGGUUGUAAACUGCUUUUAUAAGGGAAUAAAGUGAGUCUCGUGAGACUUUUUGCAUGUACCUUAUGAAUAAGGACCGGCUAAUUCCGUGCCAGCAGCCGCGGUAAUACGGAAGGUCCGGGCGUUAUCCGGAUUUAUUGGGUUUAAUGGGAGCGUAGGCCGGAGAUUAAGCGUGUUGUGAAAUGUAGACGCUCAACGUCUGCACUGCAGCGCGAACUGGUUUCCUUGAGUACGCACAAAGUGGGCGGAAUUCGUGGUGUAGCGGUGAAAUGCUUAGAUAUCACGAAGAACUCCGAUUGCGAAGGCAGCUCACUGGAGCGCAACUGACGCUGAAGCUCGAAAGUGCGGGUAUCGAACAGGAUUAGAUACCCUGGUAGUCCGCACGGUAAACGAUGGAUGCCCGCUGUUGGUCUGAAUAGGUCAGCGGCCAAGCGAAAGCAUUAAGCAUCCCACCUGGGGAGUACGCCGGCAACGGUGCAAC